rnacentral:rRNA from 1 species
AUACGGAGGAUGCAAGCGUUAUCCGGAUUUAUUGGGUUUAAAGGGUGCGUAGGCGGUUUGCUAAGCGGGAGGUGAAAUGCCGGCGCUCAACGUCGGAAGUGCCUCCCGAACUGGUGGACUGGAAUGACUCUGCCGUGGGAGGAAUGUGUAGUGUAGCGGUGAAAUGCUUAGAGAUUACACAGAACACCGAUUGCGAAGGCAUCUCACGAAGGGUUGAUUGACGCUGAGGCACGAAAGCGUGGGGAUCAAACAGGAUUAGAUACCCUGGUAGUCCACGCAGUAAACGAUGAUGGCUAACCGCUGGUUUAUUCGGAUCAGUGGCCAAGCGAAAGCGAUAAGCCAUCCACCUGGGGAGUACGCCGGCAACGGUGAAACUCAAAUGAAUGGGCGGGG